GGAAUAUAUAUCACCAGAUUCUGAUUUAUAUGCGACAUUGAGCCUCGUAUCGGUGGCUGGAGUUGUGGUCAUGGUUAUUGCAUUCUCUCUGGGAUUAGGAGCAAUGCCAUGGAUUAUAAUGUCUGAGAUUCUUCCGAUUAACAUCAAAGGCCUAGUUGGAAGUUUUGCAACACUUGCCAAUUGGUUCUUUUCCUGGUUGGUUACAUUAACAGCAAAUUUGCUCUUGGAUUGGAGUUCGGGAGGUUUGUGUGCAUUGCCUAUGUUAAUUUUCUAUAAAUAUCUAUUGUUUCUAACCAGAAGCUUCCUAUGUUUUUAUCAGGAACCUUCACAAUAUAUACUGCAGUGUGUGUUUUCACAGCAGGAUUUGUUGCCAUUUGGGU